CUUGGUCAUUUAGAGGAAGUAAAAGUCGUAACAAGGUUUCCGUAGGUGAACCUGCGGAAGGAUCAUUACAGAGUUCAUGCCCGAAAGGGUAGACCUCCCACCCUUGUGUAUUAUUACUUUGUUGCUUUGGCGAGCUGCCUUCGGGCCUUGUAUGCUCGCCAGAGAAAACCAAAACUCUUUUUAUUAAUGUCGUCUGAGUACUAUAUAAUAGUUAAAACUUUCAACAACGGAUCUCUUGGUUCUGGCAUCGAUGAAGAACGCAGCGAAAUGCGAUAAGUAAUGUGAAUUGCAGAAUUCAGUGAAUCAUCGAAUCUUUGAACGCACAUUGCGCCCCUUGGUAUUCCGGGGGGCAUGCCUGUUCGAGCGUCAUUUCAACCCUCAAGCUUAGCUUGGUAUUGAGUCUAUGUCAGUAAUGGCAGGCUCUAAAAUCAGUGGCGGCGCCGCUGGGUCCUGAACGUAGUAAUAUCUCUCGUUACAGGUUCUCGGUGUGCUUCUGCCAAAACCCAAAUUUUUCUAUGGUUGACCUCGGAUCAGGUAGGGAUACCCGCUGAACUUAAGCAUAUCAAUAAGCGGAGGA
rnacentral:rRNA from 2 species